AUGCUAUAUCUAUUCUUCUGCUUCAUGUGCAUGGCUAGCUAGCCUGUCAAAAUUAAUUCAGAUCUUCUCUCAAAAUUAAUAAUUCAAAUCUGCAUGAUCGAAAUGCAUGCAUGCGCCAAGUUAAAUUUUAAUCUCAAGAUGCAAUGAAGAUCAACUAGAAAUUACUAGUACGUAUUAUGCUGGUUGGUCAUGUCAUGCAUGAACAUGUGUACAGAUGCUAGUGAUGGGGAAAGGGAUGGCGCCUGUGGUGCCUCCGGAGCUGCAGCAGUACAUGCACUACAUCACCACGGAUCCCGCUGCCCAGUUGAUGCAGAUGCCUCCCUCGGAGCCGCCGCAGCCGUUCCAGAUCACGCACGCCAACCCACCGCAGCGGGAGUCGGAUUUCCUCAGCCAGAUGCAGAACCACCUGCACCCCUCCGACCAGCCUCAGAUCAACUUCCUCAGGCCGCCUAAACUGCAGCUCUACACCCCGGUAUGUGUAUAUGUGCUCCCUGAAUAUACAUGUUUUAUGCUGAUUGAUUCAUGCUUAUGUCAAUUGUUAAGUACAGUAAUCGGAAAGUUGAAUGGCAUUACUACUCAUAGUCAUAAUGCAUGACUGGCUGAUGAGAGGAAUUAUUAUCCAUUGAUCCGUAAUGCAUUCAUGCAGGAACAGAGGGGAGUUGUAGGCAGCAGCAGUGGGCACAACGGCGGCUGGAUCCCGGAGAGGAAUUCCUCCUACAACUUUAUGGAGUGAUGAGCAUCGUCUGCGUGAGCCACUGAUGAAGAGAUCAAUUGUAAGCAGUUUGCUAGCUAGUCUGAGAGAUUGUUUCUCGUCUAUGAGAAGUACCCAAGGGGAGUGAUGAAUGUGAUGUACGUAGUUAACUUGCUAGAUGUGUUUAAUUUCAUCAAAUAAAAGAGGCUGUGUGAUCUUGCUUGCUCCGAGCUUUCCUCAUCUCCGGCAUCUUGCCUGCGUGCAUGAUUGGGCUAAUUAACAGAGCUUUUUUAUGUGUUAUAACCUCUAUGAGCAAACAUGGCUAUCACAGGCAGGGAUAGCAUGCAAUCGUUGCAUUUUUUGAUCCAAUUAAUCUUCAGCAAGGAGAUGAGAGUUAUCAGGAGACAUGCUUCUCUGCAACCUAACAUGCUUUUGCCGGGAAUUCAAAAGACACAUCACACAUGCAUCUACAUCUGAGACUGUAGAGUCACAAUUCAAAGCCAGCAUGUGCAUUCGUGUGCUUUGCGUUCAUGGACUAGAUACUAGAUAGCAUACUUUUGUAUGCAUCCAAGGAUUGACCCCACAAUUUCACCGAAUCUUUCAGCUUCCAUUCUUCUGCAAGCCUGCGGGUACAGGUAUGUUGCAGCGCUAAAGUUGAGGGUCAUGUAAGCAGAACCUUUGGCACCACUCCAGGCCCAUGCCGUCAGGUAGCAUGGGCAAGAUUGAUACCAGUGUACUGUUCCAGGCCCAAAUAUGUCAGCACUAAUGUUGUAUGCUCCUGCUAUUUAUUGGCCGUAGCUUCAAAAGAAAAAAAAGUAAGUCGGUUCUAGUUGCACAUUUUUUUCUUUGAAAACUUAAAUAUGCAACUUCAGUAAAGAAAACGGAUUUGCUUCUUGGCAGCUUAGCAUUGCAAUUUCUCGGUUGGCCAACAAAACCGGUCGAUCUGAGCUAGAAGUGCAUGCAUUUUUUUUUCUAGAGUGUCGAUCUUGCUUUAUUAAUUCAUUGAUGAAAGUACACUAGAUAGUAAUAAUUGAAAUGAACAUUCACAACGAAUAUCCUCGAUAAAACCAAAAGAGCUCCAUCAAUUAUCUUCAGAGUCAACGUUACUAGAUCAGCCCUUCGUAUUGUUCAUCCAUGUAUGUGGUGACCAAAACUACAGAUAACCAAGCAUGCAAUCGUUAUGGAUUUUGAAAAAGCCACAUGAUUUGCCCGCCCCAAGAGGUUGGAACAUAAUAUAAGGUUGUCGAACGCACUAUGGCCAAGGACAUGAUUUUUCAUAUGAAAAACUUCUUCAUCCGAGUUCGUAUGCAAAAGUUAUGCCCAUUUUACAAAUUCCAGAGAGAUUUUGCAAAUAAAGUCAAAAUUCAUAUUUGUUAAUUUUCGCAACAACUAGACCACAUAUCACAUGGGAAACUUAUUAUUUUUUAUUUUUUUUGACAUUUUCAUCAUUUUCUUUUCUUUUUUCUAAAACUGAAAAGGCGGUCGGGGGGUGUAGAGUUUGAAAAUGGGACCUUUAGUACCGGUUCGUGCCAUGAACCGGUACUAAUGCCUCAAAGCCCAUUAGUACCAGUUGGUGCCACCAACCGGGACUAAUGGCAUCGUACCCUUUAGUCCCGGUUCGUGGCACCAACCGGGACUAUAGGGCACAGGUGAACCGGGACUACUGCCUUAGCCGCACGAACCGGGACUAAUGCGUGACUGAACCGGGACUAAUGUGAAUACUGCCCUGUGACCAAAGCCCUGUUUUCUACUAGUGCUUCGCACGUCAUCCGGACGUUUGCGGGGCGAUAUUGGAGCUUCAGGCCGGUCGAGCAUCCACGAAUCGGAGGACAAAACUCCCGAUCGACACCACGUCGCACGUCGAUGGAGGUACGUAAGGUACGUGCUUUACCAGCCUAGCUACGGUUUUUUGUUUCAUUCAUUCAUCAAGCUUUUUCAGGGGACCCGACGCGAUGGACUCUGCAGGCCACGCGCGCCCUGGCCCUGCACACAGUUCACGCCAUGGACCUGCCCUGUACGCCCUGCACGCGUGCGAUGUCUGGAUGGAUGCCGCCCACGCGCCGCGCCCAGAAGCCUGGCGAACGAGGUGGGCUCACGGAACAUGCAUGCCGGCACGCACACGUACGCAGCAGCACUGUGCAACCAUACCACACAUGCGCCGCGACUGUGUGCAGCCUGUGCAGCUACCUAGAUGCUACCCCAUGCUAGCUACACGUCCUACUCCCAUAGGCCUCGAGUCUCGACCUGAUUCUCGCUGCAUCGAACGAUCUGGGCCUGGGCGGCCUACGAAAGCAAAGCAGCAGAAUGGAGGUGACUGGCGCCUUUGUUCCCUAGCUCGCUCGCGCGCUCGCUGCGGCUUCCAUGCCCGCCAGCCAGGCCGGCCGGCAUGGGCGCUCCUUGGACGGCGCCUCGUCCAUCGAUCCAUCCAUCCGGUCAUGGCCGGUCGUUUGAAGAUUCGAUCAUGCGAUUGCGGUAUUUUACUCCCUUCUAUGCUAUGACGCACCCAGCCGCGCUGCGCUGCCCGUGUUCUGCGGGGAAGAAGAUGCAUGGGCUUCUGGCUCUGAUUCCGAGGGCUGGUUCCAUAAACAACACGCUCGGCUCGAUCAUGCAUGGGCUGCUGGUUAGCUUCCUCCUCCAUCACUUGCUGCUUACAAUUUGCUAGCCAAUCUGUUUCAAAAAAUAAUUUGCUAGUCACAUCACAUUCCAUGUCACACUGAAUCCUAAUUUCGAUGCACAUGAGCAGCCAAUAGAGAAUCCAGGCCAGAUAUUAUUGAGCAAUUAAUCAUGUACAUGUACAUUUUUUUUUUUGAACGGUCACCGGGGGGAGAGCUUCCCCACCUGAAUAUAUUACCACUCAAAGGGUUCAGGGGAAUACAGGCAAGUUAUUGUUACAAGUUCAGCUGGAGGGAAUUGCAGAGGAGAGAAAAUUUAGCCACUGUCUAGCCGAAGCCCUGUCCUCAUUUUUUUUUAACCGGAAAACCCAGAGAGAGAAGUCUGCUACAAUAUUUCUUAGCGUUAAUCUGUGAGAGUGGUCCUCGUUCCUGAACACGAGAGCAUUUCUUGAGUCCCAGAGCUUCCAAGUUAUGGUGAGGGCCACCGAUGGCCAGAUGUUGGGGUUGAGGCCCUGAAUCGGUGGGUGUUGGUGAAGAGCAGUGAGAGAUGUCGGAGCAGACAGGCCCAUGCUGGACCAAACUUGUGUAGCAUAGGAGCAGGUGGAGAUGAGGUGAAGAGCAUCCUCAUAUGGGUCUUGACAUCGAGGGCACACCGCGGAUUGAGCCACAUUUUUGUGAAACAUGUUGGCCUUCGUAUUUAGCCGAUCGCGGAGGAGAAGCCAAGCGAAAAUCUUGACUUUGAUCGGAACCUUAGAGGCCCAAACAAAAUCAUGGUGGGGAUCGAAGGAGUCAUCAGCAACAAUGGAAGAGUAAGCGUGCUUGGCAGAGAAAGCAAGCCCAUGCGUGAGGGACCGCUCGUCUGGAAAUCCUGCAACAACAACAACAGACAGUCCAACUCUCGAGCAGCAGCAUUAGUAAGACGGUUCCGCAGGUUCGAUAAUAAGCUGGUUUGCCAAACUGUAGCCACUAGAACCUUGUCAUCUAUGGAGUGGGAGUAUAGGUUGGGGAAAGCUUUUUUUAGAGGUGAGUCAAGAAGCCAUUUAUCUAGCCAAAAGAAAGUGGAGAGGCCGUUGUAGGUAAUCACGAAGGAGUGCUCAAUUAGGAGAGGCAGGUUUUUGUUUAUAAUCUUCCAAAGGAAAGAAGGCCUGGGGUUUUUAGUUGCAAUCCCAAUUGGGUAUUGUUGAUGAUACCACUGGUUCCAGGGGAUGUUUGGGUGUUGCAAAAUUUUGAAGGAAAAUUUCAUAAGUAGGCCGCAGUUCUGAAUUUCAAGAUUUUUAAUGCCUAGACCACCCAGUUCUUUAGGCCUGCAAACGUUUUUCCACGCGACCAGACACUUUGCACUCGUGCAAGUUUCUUCGUUGGACCAGAAAAAAGCUCUCCGGAUGGCGUCUAGCUUAACUAGGAUAGACUUCGGUAGGCGAAAAACGGACAUGAAGUAAAUAGUUAAGGAAUCGAGGACAGCAGUGCGCAAGGUUAGUCUUGCUCCACGAGAGAGCAGACGCGCAACCCAUCCGAAAAGGAGUUUUCGAAAGCUAUCUAGUAUAGGGUCGAAAGCUGAGAGUGGUAGUUUGAGAGGGGAGAGAGGGAGGCCUAGGUAGAUUAACGGGAAGGAGGAGAGAUUGCAUCCAAUAGUUGCAGCGAUGUUGUUUUGGGUGAGGUCAUCUGUGGCAAUGGUGAGAAGCGAGGUUUUUUGGAAGUUGAUGACUAGGCCAGUUGCUAGGGCGAAAUCAUGCAGAGUGUUUUUGAGAAUAGUGGUUGCUGCGACGCUGGCAGCAGCAAUAAUAAGUGUGUCAUCGGCGUACUGUAGGGUUACGGGUGGUUCAUUCGAACGGAGGGGGUGGCAUAGUUCGUUUUGCCUGAAAGCCUGUGCGAUCAGUCUUUGAAGGACAUCUGCGACGAUGAUGAAUAAAUACGGCGAAAAGGGAUCACCUUGUCGAAGGCCAGCUCUACAUUGGAUCCAGGAUCCCGGAGUGCUGUUGAGGAGAAUAGCCGUUUUGCCAGUGUGGAGAAUGUUUUGGACCCAUGCACAGAAGAUAGGAGGGAAACCUCUCGCUUGUAGGAUCGAUGUUAGAGAGGACCAAGAAAUGGAGUCAAAAGCUUUUCUGAAGUCCAGCUUGAUGACUAUGGUGGGGGCCUUUCUUGUGUGGCAAGCGCUGAGAAUAUCAGCAGCGUACAUAAAAUUUUCUGCAAUGUUGCGGCCAUGAAGAAAUCCUGUUUGGUCGUAGUGAAUGAGUAGAGGGAUGAGUGGUUUGACCCUGUUUGUAAGAACUUUGGCCACCGCUUUUGGGGUACAGUUUUGCAGAGAGAUUGGUCUAAAUGCAUCGGGGAGGUUGGGGCUAUUGUUUUUGGAAUGAGGACCAUGUAUGCUCGGUUAAAUCGAUCGAGGGAAGCUGUUUGAUCAUGGAAAGCAGCAAAGAACGUGAGGAUGGAGUGUUUGAUUUUGUGCCAAUAUUUUCUAAAGAAAAUAGGGCCAAAUCUGUCUGGUCUAGGGCUAGCGUUUGUGUUCAUGGAGAGAAAGGCUUGAUGAAUUUCCUCCUGGGAGAACGGAUUAGCAAGAUCACGUAGCUGGGGAAGAGUUGCCGGAUAUAGCUGUAGUAAGUUGAAGUUCCAGGUUGCAUUUUUUGUGGUACCGAUGAGUUUUUGGAAGUAAUUUUUUAGGAUUGCUGCUUUGUGUUCGUGCAGGAAGAUUUCAGAGUCAUUGUGGAUGAGCAACGGGAUUUUAUUUGAGCGAGAUCGUUGUGUGGCAGAGGUGUGGAAGAACUUGGUGUUUUCAUCGCCGUCGACGGCCCCUCUGAUCUUACCCCUCUGUUUCUAGAAGGAAAAUUUCUGUUUAAUAGCAGCUUGUAACAGAUUUGAAAUUGUGAGCCUAAGCUUUAUUUCCAGAAGGGAGAGGGGGGCAAGUUCCUCGUUAAGGUCAAGGGCUAGAAUUGCAAGUUUGCAAUUUGCCUCCCGUUGGUAGAUGGGCCUAAGAGUUUUGGCCCAAGAUUUGAGGGCUGACCGUGUUUUUUUUUCAGAUUUUGAGCCAGAGAAGUCGCGGGGUCCAGUAUCGGCCCAUUGUGGUUUUGAUCAAUGGGCAGCCAAGUGGUUUGCACUAUGGUUUUGCAGGCCUGGAGGGAGGUCCAGUAACGUUCAAAGUGAAAAAGGCAGGAGGAGGGAAUAGAUGUGGACACCGUAACCAGUAGCGGAACGUGAUCGGAGGCAAAACGAGUGAGAGAGGUUAGGUGGGUGUUGGGAAAGAGCGCAUCCCAGGCGAGGUUAAUAAGAACCCUAUCUAGCCUUACAAGCGUAGGGGAUGGCCUCUUGUUUGACCACGUGAAUUGGCGAUCAAGAAGAGGGAGCUCAAUGAGAGCAAGUUGAUCAAUGGUAUCAUUGAAGGCAUCUGCUUCAGAUCAGCGAAAGUUAUUAUUGUUCUUUUCAUUGGGGAAGCGAAUCAGAUUGAAGUCACCGAUGAGGAGCCAGGGGGAUUGUGGUGGUGGUUCAGUUUGUUUAAGCUCAUCCAGGAAAUCUCUUUUGAGAUCCCUUUGCGAAGGAGCGUAGACGUUGGUGAUAUAGACGGCGUGUUGCGAGGCAAGGCAAGAGAGGGUGAGGGUGGAGCUAAAACGCCUAUGGUCACAGCUGAGAAGUGUGAAACAGCGUGAGUUAGUGGCAGAGAGAAUGCCACCCGCAGAACCGAUAGCGUCUAGAUGGUUGUUUGAGUCUAGGAAGCGUGGUAGGAUCGAGCGUAUUUUAAUGGUGUCUGGUUUGAGAAGUUUAGUUUCUUGAAAAAGAGCGAUCGAUGGGCGUAGUUGAUUAAUCUCAGAGAACACAUUAGCACAUUUAUCAUUGUCACCAAGACCUCGAACGUUCCAAGACACUAUAGAGUAGGAUUCAUUUUUCAUAAUGGAAACUUUAGCAAGCACCAUACAUAGGAUAAGCAACCCAGCAAGCGAGCAUCCAGGUACAGGAGGUAGCGGGACAAGUUGACAGAACCACGCGUGAGCACUAACAUAGCUAACUCUAACCUAACAUAGCAACUACGGUAGGGUGCGACGCACCGGAUACAUGCCCAACAAGGGCUGCCAGUAGAGUGGCAGUGGCAUACGGGAGAUGUAAUCAUGGCGAGCCCAAAACACCGGAGCCCGAAGCGAUAUCAGCCGCCACCUCCGGCGGAGCACCGCAGGCAGUAGCAAUGGCCGUGAGAUCCUCUGGCGAGGCAGGACUGCGGGCCGAGUCGUCGAUGAGUCCAUCCAUAUCGCAGAGACGAGCGUGGACAAGGGCGUCCGAGAGAUCCUUGGAAGCAGUUGAGAGGUCGAGUUUUUUCGCCUUGGAGCGCAUGGCCUUGGCAGUCAUGGAGGAGUAGUUUGGGGGCUCGAUUUCGGCCAAUCGAGCGCUGCGUCUGGCCUUAACACCAGAGUCAGCGGCCAUCUUGGUGCGCCUGCUGAUGCGCCUGACCAGACACUCAUGCGUGGGUUCAGGAGGCAGAUCGGGAGCCGGAUCGGCUACGACGACAGGCAGAGGUGGCUCAUGGAGCACCGGAGGAGAGUGGGGAGGGGACAGUGGCGGUGGUAAGGGAGCUGGAGAGGGUGGAGCUGGUAAUGCGAGCAUAGGACGGGGAGCAGUCGAUCGGACAAGCUUGCGAGCGGGAGUGGGAGUGCAUGCGGGAGGAGACCAUGGGGCAUGCACCAGCAUGGCCACAGACAUGCCAUCGGCCAUGACAGCAAGGAUAGGGAUGCCGUCCAGAGGGAGCGUAGUUGCAGGUGUUGGUGGAGGGCCCGAGGGAGAUUCGGGUGUGCAUGCGAAAGGAGACAUGGCUGCAGCGAUGGAUCGGAUCUGGUGCGUGGUGGCUGGGGACAGGCGUGGGUUGGAUAUCUGGGAGGAAAGGGAAGAGUUGUCCUCGUCAUCGGAGGAGAAAGGGGAGGCGCCCGAGCCAUGGCGGAAGAGAGUACGGCUCUCAAGCUUGACGACAACUACAUCAUUGUCAGGAAGGCGCACCAUGAGACAAGGGGGAAGGACGAAGUCGCGGGCCACCAUGACAAGAGCACGGACACUUGAGUGGUCACCCUGGAAGCAGUGCUGAUCUGCUGACACGAAGUCUCCCAGGUGUGAGAAGAAGUAAUCUGCCCCCUCAGGGUGCCAGAGCUCAUCGGGAUAGUCAAAGGCUUCGAUCUCGGCCAUGUGAAUGAAGAUGGCCAGGGAUCUGUUGUCUGCGUGCUCUGGACGCUCGAAGAAGAGGGUGUUGCCCUCGUGGUGGAUAGGGCCAUGGCCCGUGACGGCGAAACGCUCUUCAGCGUUUGCAAAGGAGAGACGCGCAGCGCCACGACCAGAGGAGGUGAGCCCGAACAUAGGGUUGUUGCGGUGGAGAGCGAUAGCCUGGCGGAUGAAGCGGAAGGGGUUGAGCAUGGGGGUGGCGAGGUGCACGUAGGAUAGGUUAUCGACCUGGCGGACGAGGCAGCUUGGCGGGACAAGUAGUGGGAUGUGGGGUGCCGGAGGAGAACGGCUAGCAGCAGACGAAGCUGUGGUAGGUGGGGAGGGGGGAGGUGGCGGGGCGAAGGACGGCGCCGGAGGAGAGGCGUUGGAGGCUCGAGGACCGAAGAUGAGAGGGAGGUGGAAAGGAGGGAGGUCGUUGGUGAGGACGCGGUGGGAGCCGAACCAGAUGGGAGCGCCGUCCGAGAGCCUGGAUCCAGCCGACGAGCCGGAGGCGGUGUGGGUGCCCGUCGUGUGCGCCAUUGAGCUGCAUGGCGGACGCACAAACGCAGGGUUAAUACGCGGAGAGGGGGGCAUAGGGGGGAAGAAAGGAAGGAAGCGGACGACUUUGCACCUGAAACUCCGGUGACCGGAGCACCAGCAGCGAGAGCAGCGGACGGGAUCACGGCAGUCGGAGAUGGUGUGGUCACUGGCGAGACACCGGAAGCAUCUUGGUUUUUGCUUUCGGCUAUAUCUGUGGUGGAUGUGUUUGGGGCUGGCCGCCCGGGGAGGGGCUGAUUUAUAGGCCGGAGAGGCCAGAGGAUGGGGGGGUCGAUUGCAGCGGCCGGAGCUGGGGAGCCGAGCAAAACCUCCCGGUAGGAGCGCGGGGUCUGCAGCGGCAUGGAGACCGAAGAGCACGCAGGGGUGGCAGGAGUGGCAGGAGCGUGGCACUGGUCCAUGGCGGUCUCGGGACGAAGCUGAGGGGACGGGGCGGUAUGUAGGCUGACGGAGGUAGGGGAGGCAGGAGGUGGAGUAGACGUGAUGAUGGGCACAUGCGUGUUCAUGCAAGCGUUGGUUGGUGCGAGCGGUGAGGGCGAGCAGGUGAGGGAGGAUGGGUCCCGCAAAUCAGCGAUAGUGGGGUAUGCUUUUGGGUCAGCGCAGGAGGUGGCAAGAUCGAGCAGCCCCGGGAGCCGACCGGGGGGCGGCUGCGGCGACGGCAGCGGGUCAAGGCAGUCAGUGGUGGAUAGAGGGCGUGGGGGCGGAUGGUCUAGCGUUUUAGGGUUUAAAGAACUGGGUAGGCUGGGAGGGGAGGGGGAGGGGACGGCGCAGUCUGCACCCAGUUUUUGUUUUCUUUCGUUGGAAAGGUUUCAGGGAGACGUGACGGGAGAGGCCAAGCUGGCCUAGAGGUCCACGUGUCCCAGGCCAUCGAGUGGAUUUUGGUCAACCGGGGACGAUGCAGUAGAAUCCUCGCCUAGAACAGUGAGAUGAAUCCCCGGGUUGAGAGGGGAUAGAUUUUGUGUGUUUAUUCUAGUUGACGGGUGCGGUCCAAGCAAGGACGUGGAGUGGGUAGGCUGGACGUUGUGAGACGGGUCAAAUGAGUCCGGUUCGAACACAGUUGGCAAUGGUACUGAUCGCACUGUUUGUGAUGCAUGGUCAAAAGAGUCAAAGAGCAGGAUUUUGAAAUUUGAAAACUCUAGUGGCGCGCAACGGAGAACCUCUCUUCUGACCAAGACUGAUAACACAUGCACUAAGAACAGGUUCGGAGCAAGCGUGGUUGCGUGGAAGACACAUUUAAAGGAGAACUGGUGGUCUAAGGCAUUAUUAAUCAGUGUUUCAUUAGCGCAAACCGAGCCAGAGUGGAAGACAACCCAUAUAGGGGUGGCUGGUUUAUGUGUGAGGCAUGUAGUGGGCGUGGUGACAAGGCAGUGGUACUUAGAAAAAAUCAGCUUAUUAAACGAGAUCCCAGGAUGGAACGGUCGUACCUUUGCAUGUGAACGCGAGAGGCUGAGUGUUGGGGAGGUCACAGGAGCCCCAAGAGGCGGACGACCGUUGGCGGUUGCAGGCCCCACAUGCAUGGAGGCCAUGCACGGAGGAGAGGCUGGUGACGGAGCGGCAGCAGGUUGAGGUGGCACACCCGCAAGCAGGAGCGGCGAGGCCACCGGAGAUGGGGGCGGGGCCGGCAUCGCAAGCGGCGCGACCGUGACCGUGGCGAACAUGCGAGGAGCAGCGAUCGGCGAGCAGGCGGCCAUGAGUGACGCAACGUGGUAAGACGAUACCGACGCUGUGAACGCCGCGUGGGAUAGGCGUGUGAUGGAAAUGCUUCGCGGAGAUCCACCAAAACGGAAUGAGAGUAACACGGCGAUGAGCGGUUCGUCAACCAUGAAGUUAGCUUUGUGGACGAAGAAGAUUAUCCUAGUGGGUGAGGAGGAGUCUUGUGGCGAAGAGAAGACCUUGGUGGAGAACAGAUCGAAGAUGUUGCGAGAGAAAUCGAUGCCGAGCGAGGGAACGAACCCAAGUUGAGAGCGCAGGAAGGCAUCCGCAUGGCCAAAGCGGUCGCCGAUGUCCAAGGUUGUUUGGAUGUUGGCGGGUGGGUCAUGAGUUUGUUGGGGCGGAGGAAAAGGCAGAAACUGGAUCGAGUGGGUGGUGGCGACGAGCACGGGCUCGGCGAGGAGAGCGCGAACGAUGCGCACGUCGGAGACAGAGAUUCGGAAGAGGUUGUCUUGGAGGCGAGUCACCUGGAAGGCAGGAGCGUUGCCACCCAGACAGGCUUGCAUGAGGACGGCAACGAGCUCCUCAUCGAGGUCGAGUGAGGAGUGGCGAACUUGCAUGGAGAGGAAGCAUGGUGGCUCGUGGUGGCGCGGGUUGAUGUGCUUGGAGAGGCAGCGCCAGACCUGCGCUUGGAAGUCGUCACCCAUGGCGUCCCCAACUCCAAGAGCCAUGCGCAAGGCUCGGGAGGUGGGGAAGACAUGCCAUGGAAUGGGAUCGUGGAAGGAGGCCGGGGCAACUGGUGCGGACGAUGGUGCUGGAGAGUGGACGGCGGCCGCGAUGGCCGGAGGUGUGGGCUGGGUGGAGCUGGGAGCGGCCGAGGGGCCGCAGGGGAGGAGAGGAGGAGGAGACAUCCACAAACUCAUUGCUAUCGCCACAUGUACAUAUAUAUACUCCCUACGGUCGGGUUUGCAGGUCCGCGCAAGUUUCUUGGUCCUCAAUUUGACUAACAAAAAGGUGUUAUAUACCGUCAAAACUCAAAAACAUAUCAUUAGGUUCAUAUAUUUGAAAAAAGUUUCUAAACGUAUGAUUUCGAGCCGAUUUAUGUGUGCAUCAGGCGAUCCAUAGGCCUGAGGUGUUUUUCUCUUUUUGAAGAAAAAGUGGUGUCAUAUAACCCAUUUUUGUUGAAACACCAAACUACAAUGCAGACGCGCAGGCACGUGUGGAAACGUUGCUUUCCACUUGAAGAAUAAUCCACGUUAAUGAGACAUCAAAGUGUUUCCCUGAUGGACCGGGGAUGCCAUCACCUUUCUAACCAUCAAACCAGUGGUUGGUUCUUGCAUGUGUUUUUUCAUUCCAGUAAAUCAAUGAUGCAAAUAUUAAGCCAGCAGCAGGCAGAUCAACUUAUGGAUCAUCAUGAAUAUUGCGCAAGUUCUCAAUCAUAACGUACUUAUGAUAUGUAGUGGCAGUGUAUCCACUUGCUGCAUUGUCCUGAAUUCUUAUUGUCAUCUCGUGUAGAUUCUUACCGUGGAAAGGAACAGAGAUACUACUUCUUCUCUCCCAGGUUUAUGCUACGAAGAGGAGUUGGCAAUGUUUGGGUGACUUGGUACUCGAAACAUGAAGGCGAAAGGAAUAGGAAUGGUUGGACGGUUUAAGGUGUCUUAGCCGGGAGGCUCCUUGUCCAUAAGGACCCGAUCUUCUCAAGCAUUUUUUAUAGAUCCAUGAUCAAGGGCUUCAGCUCGAAACAUGAUAUAAAAAUGAUCAUAGCAUAACCAAAUUUGACACUUUUAUCACCACCAUGACAAUAAUCAUUGUUGUAGUGCUUACACCACGAGCCAUUAACCGUACCUAAGAUGGGUUGGCUAAGCAAACUGACCACAGAAAGGUUGUUAGUCUGAGGCAGACGAUGACCUGCCAUGGAAAAGGGGUACCAAUCCAUGAUCUCUAAGCACGACGGUGGGAAAUAUGUCUCGGAUAGCCAAGUUAGGCCCACCUUGGGUUUUGUGUACUAGUCAGCAAAUCUUAGCUAUGUAUGGUUUUUAGUUAUAUGUUUGGUUCAUUGCUACAACUAUCACUUGGCACACUUAAUUUCUUAUCCCUGUGAACUACAUGUAGCAGAUUCAUAUCUUUGCAAAUGCUUGUACCAUGUUGUGGUAGUUGUUUUCUUCUUCACACUUUCUGUCGCAACCACAAUGUUGCUAGAUAGUGGAAGAUAUAUCUCUUCCGACCUUUGAAUUAUCGCUGAGCCUGCUGCCAGGGUUCAUGUUCUCAGUCUUGUCUUGGUUUCCCAAGGCCCUUGGAGGGUGUUGGCGGUGCGGCUCAAAGUGACGGCACCAUUAGCCAACAUGGUUAGUGUACAUCCGUUGUCUCGACAAAGUGAAGAACCUCGGCGCCGGAUAGUCUAUGGUGUGUGAGUGCUUACAGUUAUUCCUCUUGACAAUUGAGCAAGUGUGUGUCAUUUGUUAUAAUAUGUGUUGUCUCGGUAGUUUGAUGCUUCCGGGGUGCUCCCCCGCCCGACAUUGCUACAGAUUGUCUAUGGUGGAUGUUGUGUUUUGCUGCCUCGGUAGUGUUUCAUGAUGUGUGCACUUGAUGUUGCAUUUCCUACUCUAGUUUGUUUUCGUGCUUUUUUUAUUUAUCCUCUUCUUUUUUAGUCCGUGUACUUUUGGUUCGCUCGAACCCAUCUUCUAGUACCAGCCAUUGAUCAAUCACAUUACCUAGUUUCAUAAGGCAUUGAUCAGUUACAUUACAUGUCAUAAUUUCAUUCGAUAUCUCAUCAUUUGUUAUUGCCCCUUAAACCCCUUCCGCUCCGCAAACUCCUGCAUAUAUACUUUUCUUUGGCGAACCAUGCAUGCUACACAUAAACCCAUACGACAUUGCUACUAUCUAAUACCUAGAGAAGAAAUGACACCCAUAUCUCUCCGGGUAUUUUGCACAAGCUGGCGAGUGCUCUAAAGAAUUCAUGCUGACGAACCCUUGUAUUGCAAGCCCAGUUUGAGCCAUGCCCUAGCAAGGCCGUAGAUGAAAUGAUUGACCACAUGGGCGCCCUACAAAAUUGCAAACAUCCCAUCAGAGACCCCGAUGCAGCUGACGAUUACUCCAUACCGACGGACCAAGUGACCAGAAAUUCCACACGGCCGGUGGAAAAAGAUGAGGAGAUGUCGACACGCACAGUGCUCACUCGCCACUAGCCACUCGAUCAGUCGUUGCCAUGACGCAAAAGCUUAUAAAAUCAGAUGCCACAAGACCAUAAAUACCAUGCCGGCCUGGACCAAAGGUUGGUGCAGGGUCGAAGAGACCAUCAACCAGGUCGCCUGACCAUGAAAGGGUCCCUGAGUCUCCAUCCUCUCUAGCCUGCCUAGGGCUGGACCAGUUUGGCACUGCUAGAUAUUAGCUAGCUAGCAUCGGUUCAUAAGGGGGUGUGAAGGCCAGAGGGAGCCCAGGCCAGCAAGGAGACCUCAGAUACCAAGAAGAACGGUAUGCAUGGCUGGCUGAAAGCUUUUGUUCUUAGCUACUCUUCGUUCGUAGAUCUUGUUCGAUUGUUUCUUUAUACCUAGCUGGUGGCAGGAAGGUGAAGAGGCUCAUCAAGAUCGCUGAUGGAAGACGGCAGGGCUUUGAGGAGGAUGUCUAUCCCUACCCGCAGAAGCAGAUCUGCCGAUUUCCACAAUUUUUCAGAAAGGGUAGGUUGUUGUCAUGCAUGCAUAUCGACGGAUCACACAUCGCCGGAGCCGAUGCCACUAAUUAGCAUUUCGAGUUCCUGAGCUUGAUUUCUGUUUGGGUUAUUUGUAGAGGAGACGGGAUAAGAUCAACGAGAAGCUCAAGGCACUGCAAGAGCUACUUCCAAACUGCACCAAGGUCCACGUAAUGAACAUGCCCCAUCUUAAGGAUCUUCUAGCAUAGUAUAUAUUUCUCCUCUCUUGCUGACCGAGCAAUUCCCCUGACAUGUGCUCUCCUUACUGAUUUAGACGGACAAGGUGUCGAUGCUAGACGAAGUGAUCGACUACCUGAAAUCGCUCCAGCUGCAACUCCAGGUAUUUUUAAAAACUGGAGCCCCAUCAUAUACCAUAUGAUCGAGUUUAUUAUGCAUCAUGUUCUUUUAUAUGCUAUAUCUAUUCUUCUGCUUCAUGUGCAUGGCUAGCUAGCCUGUCAAAAUUAAUUCAGAUCUUCUCUCAAAAUUAAUAAUUCAAAUCUGCAUGAUCGAAAUGCAUGCAUGCGCCAAGUUAAAUUUUAAUCUCAAGAUGCAAUGAAGAUCAACUAGAAAUUACUAGUACACAUUAUGCUGGUUGGUCAUGUCAUGCAUGAACAUGUGUACAGAUGCUAGUGAUGGGGAAAGGGAUGGCGCAUGUGGUGCCUCCGGAGCUGCAGCAGUACAUGCACUACAUCACCACGGAUCCCGCUGCCCAGUUGAUGCAGAUGCCUCCCUCGGAGCCGCCGCAGCCGUUCCAGAUCACGCACGCCAACCCACCGCAGCGGGAGUCUGAUUUCCUCAGCCAGAUGCAGAACCACCUGCACCCCUCCGACCAGCCUCAGAUCAACUUCCUC
rnacentral:lncRNA from 1 species